AUGCUGAAACUUGCGUUUUUCUGGAGGAGGAGGAGGAGUAGGUCGCAGCCCCGGCUGCCCAGCUCCGCGCAGGGACGCCCAUACCUGCGACCGCCGGUGCGACGCCCCAGCGUGGGGGACGGACGCGGACACGGACACGCGAGGUUGCGGCUCCGCGCAGCCGCCGCCUUGUUUCCAGACCGGCCGAGGCCGAUGGCACGAAGCGAAGGGAGCAGCCCGGGCGUGGCCCGCCGGCAGGGCGCCGCCUCGACGCUUCCCCUGCAGCUCCACGGCCGGGCGGGAUGCCGGCGGGGAACGGGAUCGGGAACGGGAAGGGCCGCGGGCUGCCGGGCCGGCGGGGAGCGCGGAGCCGCCCGGCCCCGGCCCCCACUAGGGGCGGCGCACCUCGGCCCGCGCCGCCAGGGGGCGCUCGGCGCGCCGGGCCGGCCGGCGGGGUGUACCAUUUCCCGCGGGGGGGCGCGUGUGGCCCGCUCCGGGCUAGAGCGCUCACCGACAGCGGCAGCCUCCCCUGGCGGCUUGGCGGCGGGUAAAGACGAGGGCGGCCGCCGCUGGGCGGGGACAGCCGGAGCCCUCCUGUACGGGGCUACGGGCUUCCCCCUCCCCAGCGCCGCGUUCAGUGGUAUCGCCCCAGCGGCCGACUGCGGCGCGGCCCUCACCGGGCGGGAGGGGUUGUGGUUUGGGUUGUUGGGUUGUUUUUUUGGGGGUUGGGGUUUUUUUUUCCCCCUCCCUCCCGUUGCCAUAGAGACUGCGGGGUGCUGCCCCCCCCCCUCCCUCGUCCCGCGCCGGGCUGGGACACGUCGCCGCCGCCGCCGCCCCGGGAGCUCUGCGGGGCUCUCCGCAGGUACGGGGGGGUGGCGGGGAGGAGAGUGCCGCCGCGGCCGGGCUCGGCGGGCGCAUGUUUGGGGAGGGGAGGGGCGGGGCGGGGGACGCGCGGGCACCUGGGGGUGGCCCGGCCGUGAGGGGAGCGCCGCCGGCGGAGGGAGAGCCCGCCCUGUCAGCGCCGCUGCCGCAGCCGGCACGGCCUCGGCGGUCCCUGCCUGGCAGGUGAGGCUGGGGGGAAGCCCGGAGGGGGGUGUCCGGGGGGGUGUGCGUGCCCUGAGAGGGGCCCCGUUCCCGCCGCGGCCGGGCCUGUCGCGGGGCUGCGUGCACCCCCUCCGGGGCCUGCCAAGCCGCAGCCGGGCUGUGGAGCGAUCGGGAGCGGGGGGGGUGGGGGGGUUGCCCGCAGCGGCCCCGCAGCCCGGCGAGGCAGCGUGCCGUCCGUUGGGCUCAGCGGCGAAGCGGCCGGCUCGUUAA
rnacentral:lncRNA from 1 species